rnacentral:rRNA from 1 species
GUGGGGAAUCUUGCGCAAUGGGCGAAAGCCUGACGCAGCCAUGCCGCGUGAAUGAUGAAGGUCUUAGGAUUGUAAAAUUCUUUCACCGGGGACGAUAAUGACGGUACCCGGAGAAGAAGCCCCGGCUAACUUCGUGCCAGCAGCCGCGGUAAUACGAAGGGGGCUAGCGUUGCUCGGAAUUACUGGGCGUAAAGGGCGCGUAGGCGGACAGGUUAGUCAGAGGUGAAAGCCCAGGGCUCAACCUUGGAAUUGCCUUUGAUACUGGCUGUCUUGAGUACGGGAGAGGUGAGUGGAACUCCGAGUGUAGAGGUGAAAUUCGUAGAUAUUCGGAAGAACACCAGUGGCGAAGGCGACUCACUGGCCCGUUACUGACGCUGAGGCGCGAAAGCGUGGGGAGCAAACAGGAUUAGAAACCCCAGUAGUCC